rnacentral:pre_miRNA from 1 species
UGUAGAAUUGCUGGUUCAUAUGGUAAUUCUGUUUAACUUUUAGAGGAGUCUUCAAACUGUUUCCAGAGCAGCAACACCAUUUUACAUUCCCAUCAGCAAU